rnacentral:rRNA from 1 species
UACAGAGACUGCGAGCGUUAUUCGGAUUCACUGGGCGUAAAGGGUGCGCAGGCGGCCGUGUGUGUGAGGCGUGAAAGCCCGGGGCUUAACCCCGGAAUUGCACCUCAAACUACACGGCUAGAGCAUUGGAGAGGGUAGCGGAAUUCACGGUGUAGCAGUGAAAUGCGUAGAUAUCUGGAGGAACACCGGUGGCGAAGGCGGCAUCCUGGACCAACACUGACACUGAGGAGCGAAAGCCAGGGGAGCAAACGGG